rnacentral:snoRNA from 1 species
UGAUGAGACAUCUCCGGAAUCGCUGCACCGCCUUGAUGAUUCCCUCGAACCCUGGUAUUUCUGAUGACUGCGGCCCUGCUC